UACGUAGGGGGCAAGCGUUGUCCGGAUUUAUUGGGCGUAAAGAGCGUGUAGGCGGUUUGGUAGGUCCGCUGUGAAAACUCGAGGCUCAACCUCGAGACGCCGGUGGAAACCAUCAGACUAGAGUCCGGAAGAGGAGAGUGGAAUUCCAGGUGUAGCGGUGAAAUGCGUAGAUAUCUGGAGGAACACCGGUGGCGAAGGCGGCGUUCUGGACUGCAACUGACACUGAGGAACGAAAGCCAGGGGAGCAAACGGG
rnacentral:rRNA from 1 species